rnacentral:rRNA from 1 species
UACGAAGGGGGCUAGCGUUGCUCGGAUUGACUGGGCGUAAAGGGCGCGUAGGCGGUUCGUACAGUCAGACGUGAAAUUCCUGGGCUCAACCUGGGGGCUGCGUUUGAUACGUGCGGACUUGAGUGCGGAAGAGGGUCGUGGAAUUCCCAGUGUAGAGGUGAAAUUCGUAGAUAUUGGGAAGAACACCCGUGGCGAAGGCGGCUCUCUGGGACGGUACUGACGCUGAGACGCGAAAGCGUGGGGAGCGAACAGG